AUUGAACGCUGGCGGCAGGCCUAACACAUGCAAGUCGGACGGUAGCACAGAGAGCUUGCUCUUGGGUGACGAGUGGCGGACGGGUGAGUAAUGUCUGGGGAUCUGCCCGAUAGAGGGGGAUAACCACUGGAAACGGUGGCUAAUACCGCAUAACGUCGCAAGACCAAAGAGGGGGACCUUCGGGCCUCUCACUAUCGGAUGAACCCAGAUGGGAUUAGCUAGUAGGCGGGGUAAUGGCCCACCUAGGCGACGAUCCCUAGCUGGUCUGAGAGGAUGACGAGCCACAGUGGAACUGAGACACGGUCCAGACUCCUCCGUGAGGCAGCAGUGGGGAAUAUUGCACAAUGGGCGCAAGCAUGAUGCAGCCAUGCCGCGUGUAUGAAGAAGGCCUUCGGGUUGUAAAGUACUUUCAGCGGGGAGGAAGGCGGUGCGGUUAAUAACCGCGUCGAUUGACGUUACCCGCAGAAGAAGCACCGGCUAACUCCGUGCCAGCAGCCGCCGUAA
rnacentral:rRNA from 1 species